CACGUAGGGGGCGAGCGUUGUUCGGAAUUACUGGGCGUAAAGCGUGCGCAGGCGGUUCUGUAAGUCUGUCGUGAAAUCCCCGGGCUUAACCUGGGAAUUGCGAUGGAGACUGCAAGGCUAGAAUCUGGCAGAGGGGGGUAGAAUUCCACGUGUAGCAGUGAAAUGCGUAGAGAUGUGGAGGAACACCGAUGGCGAAGGCAGCCCCCUGGGUCAAGAUUGACGCUCAUGCACGAAAGCGUGGGGAGCAAACAGG
rnacentral:rRNA from 1 species